UGGGGAAUAUUGCACAAUGGGCGCAAGCCUGAUGCAGCCAUGCCGCGUGUAUGAAGAAGGCCUUCGGGUUGUAAAGUACUUUCAGUCGGGAGGAAGGUGUCAAGGUUAAUAACCUUAUCAAUUGACGUUACCGACAGAAGAAGCACCGGCUAACUCCGUGCCAGCAGCCGCGGUAAUACGGAGGGUGCAAGCGUUAAUCGGAAUUACUGGGCGUAAAGCGCACGCAGGCGGUUGAUUGAGUCAGAUGUGAAAUCCCCGGGCUUAACCCGGGAAUUGCAUCUGAUACUGGUCAGCUAGAGUCUUGUAGAGGGGGGUAGAAUUCCAUGUGUAGCGGUGAAAUGCGUAGAGAUGUGGAGGAAUACCGGUGGCGAAGGCGGCCCCCUGGACAAAGACUGACGCUCAGGUGCGAAAGCGUGGGGAGCAAACAGG
rnacentral:rRNA from 1 species